GAAAGAUGGUUUACAUCUCAAAUGGUCAGGUGUUGGACAGCCAGAGUCAGUCCCCCUGGAGAUUGUCUUUCAUAACAGAUUUCUUCUGAGGAAUAGCAGAAUUUGUGGCUUUUUUUUCAAAACUCUGCUUCAGCAAGAUGUGAAGAAAAGAAGAGGCUAUGGGGGCUCCUCUGAUACAUCCUCAGAUACAAUGAUAGAAGAGGGCCACCAGGAAACCCUCCAUGAAGAAUGGGUCGGAUCAGUCACCUUCGUGACCCCAGCCCUCCUCCAAUGGUCUGUGGAUGAGGAAGGUAAACGUCUGCUCUGAGAAGCAGACAACUAGACAUACACACGUAGAAGGGAACCAUCAAGAGGUGAGGAGCGGCUCAUGAGGAGAAGAUGGUGUAUGUCCAAACAAGGACUGCUCUGUGUCCUCACAGAAGAAUGAGGUCAUGCUGGGAACUCCCUCUGCAGGAUCUGGCCUGACUGAUGUGCAGUUCUAUAAAUGUACAUGUGUGUCUCCUUAUCUGUUUUGUAUAGUUUACUAAAGUUAAUAUAGAUUUAAGAAGUAAAUAUUUUUAGGUUGCAAAACUUGAUUCUUCAUCUUUAUAUGAUUAUACCCAAAAUCUUUGAUCUGGAAGAAAUAAAGGCCAUGUAGUUAGUCCUGGAAAAAAAA
rnacentral:lncRNA from 1 species